UAACUUCGUGCCAGCAGCCGCGGUAAUACGAAGGGGGCUAGCGUUGCUCGGAAUUACUGGGCGUAAAGGGCGCGUAGGCGGCUUAGUCAGUCAGGCGUGAAAUUCCUGGGCUUAACCUGGGGGCUGCGCUUGAUACGGCUAGGCUUGAGGGUAGGAGAGGGUCGUGGAAUUCCCAGUGUAGAGGUGAAAUUCGUAGAUAUUGGGAAGAACACCGGUGGCGAAGGCGGCGACCUGGCCUAUUACUGACGCUGAGGCGCGACAGCGUGGGGAGCAAACAGGAUUAGAUACCCUGGUAGUCCACGCCGUAAACGAUGUGCGCUGGAUGUUGGGGCCCAUAGGGUCUCAGUGUCGUAGCUAACGCGGUAAGCGCACCGCCUGGGGAGUACGGCCGCAAGGUUGAAACUC
rnacentral:rRNA from 1 species